GAUGAACGCUGGCGGCGUGCUUAACACAUGCAAGUCGAACGAUGAAGCCCAGCUUGCUGGGUGGAUUAGUGGCGAACGGGUGAGUAACACGUGAGUAACCUGCCCUUAACUCUGGGAUAAGCCUGGGAAACUGGGUCUAAUACCGGAUAGGAGCGUCCACCGCAUGGUGGGUGUUGGAAAGAUUUAUCGGUUUUGGAUGGACUCGCGGCCUAUCAGCUUGUUGGUGAGGUAAUGGCUCACCAAGGCGACGACGGGUAGCCGGCCUGAGAGGGUGACCGGCCACACUGGGACUGAGACACGGCCCAGACUCCUACGGGAGGCAGCAGUGGGGAAUAUUGCACAAUGGGCUCAAGCCUGAUGCAGCGACGCCGCGUGAGGGAUGACGGCCUUCGGGUUGUAAACCUCUUUCAGUAGGGAAGAAGCGAAAGUGACGGUACCUGCAGAAGAAGCACCGGCUAACUACGUG
rnacentral:rRNA from 1 species